UUUUUACCAAAAAAGGGGGAGGGUUAAAUCCGAAGAUUUCUGUGUCAUGUGAUGUGACAAGAUCAAACAAGUAUCGCCAAAAGUUAGGCCUAUGUAUGGCUAUCAAGCCUGUAAGACAAAUUUUGGAUAAAAACAGAAAAGACACACCAAGGCGAUGAAAUCCUGUACCUACCCGUAUUUUGAAUGCAAAUAAGAAACAGACUAUAGCAUGAAAACGGAAUUAUUCACACAAAUCACAACACUAGUAAAGCGUUUUUGAUGUCUAAAUCUUUCUGUAAAUACAAUUUUUGACAUAUUUUGAGACCAUUAUAGGAUAUAACGUACUAAAUGGUGGCCCCGUUGCCGGCAAUGCUAUUUUUAGCAAUUAUCUCCUUAAAAGGCGUUUUCAUUAAACUAAUUACGGAAAAUCUGUUGUUUUCUAAUUGAAGCUCGAUAUCUAUUUGUGAUUUUACCGCACUCAAAUAUAUAUGGUCCCAUGGCUUUUCUUGGUGAAUUUUGGGGUUUUUCACGAUACCUGACGAUUUCGCAGAAAAAUUUUCCCUAAUUUUGAGCAACAUAAAAAAAAUUAUUUUCGGCAUUUCAUACUAUACAUUUAAGGACAAAUUUGUACUUGCAUGAAACUUCAUUCAUAAUGCUUUCCAGAAGAAAAAUAUAUAAAAGAUAUAACAACCAAUCACAGAGAGCCAUCUAUUUUUAUCUCUAUGUCAUGUUCCCUUCAUAAAAUGGCUGCGCCCAUGUAAUUUUAUUUGGUACAUUGUAACCUAUACGGUAAUAAACAAUUUUUGAAAUUUGAUUUUUUUUUGCCGCAUUAGUUACUUGAACAUUGCUUGACUUCAUUCUACUAUGCAAAAUAUUUCAUUGUAAACUGUAUAAUACACAGGAAUUAAUUUCUGGAGCCUACCCCUGUUUAAAAAUUGGUAAAAAAUUACACUGAUUUUUAUAGACAUUACGGUACUGUUUGUUGCAGGUGUAAUAUUUUGUCUCUUUGUUAGUAUUGCCUUUUCGAAGUAAUCAUGUGCUUCUGAUAUUGAUCAACAGAAAAUUUAAUUUGAGUGACACUGUACUGAAAAACAAAUUAAAAAUUCGGACCAGUUCAAUAUGAAAUAAAUUCACUAUUUUGAAACGGACUAUAGCUUUAUAAAUCGGAUACAUGUGCACAUUUUAGCUUCUUUUCGUAAAAAACAGCUUCUGGUGGUCUAUAUUAGCUAUACAAGUAGUCUGGUAAAUGUUUUGAAUGAUGCGAAAUCGUUUAGCGUAUGCAAAUACCCUUGGAGCCGUUUUUACCAAAAAAGGGGGAGGGUUAAAUCCGAAGAUUUCUGUGUCAUGUGAUGUGACAAGAUCAAACAAGUAUCGCCAAAAGUUAGGCCUAUGUAUGGCUAUCAAGCCUGUAAGACAAAUUUUGGAUAAAAACAGAAAAGACACACCAAGGCGAUGAAAUCCUGUACCUACCCGUAUUUUGAAUGCAAAU
rnacentral:lncRNA from 1 species